rnacentral:rRNA from 1 species
UACGUAGGGUGCAAGCGUUGUCCGGAAUUAUUGGGCGUAAAGAGCUCGUAGGCGGUCUGUCGCGUCUGCUGUGAAAACUCAGGGCUUAACCCUGAGCUUGCAGUGGGUACGGGCAGACUAGAGUUCGGUAGGGGAGACUGGAAUUCCUGGUGUAGCGGUGAAAUGCGCAGAUAUCAGGAGGAACACCGAUGGCGAAGGCAGGUCUCUGGGCAUUAACUGACGCUGAGGAGCGAAAGCAUGGGGAGCGAACAGG